AAAUAAAAUCAGAAAGAACUAGGAGGACAGGGAAAAGAAGAAACCUGGUGCAGAAAUAAAAUUCUUCCUAUAAGUCUCCAUCUCUUACUUAGUUACCUUAAUUAGCCAUCUUCUAGUUUCAGUCCUCUCUUUAUAAAAAAAAUUAAAAAGAAGAGAAGGAAGGGACCAAAGAAAGAGGGAAGAAAAGAAGUUACCCAAGAAAGUUAUGAGUGUGAACAACUGGUUUUGAUCUGGUUUUGUUGUCUUCUAAAACCCUCUGUGACCUGGAUCCCUUCCCAGCUCAAGUUGGGAAGCAGAAAAGAAAUCCAACUGGUUUCAGUUGUUCAGGAUUUGGGACAAGCAUCUGGCUGAUGGACGCUUUGCCUGCUCUCUGAUCUUAGUCUUCUUUAAAACAUCAAUGCCUUUGCCUUUCUCGCUCUCUCUCGGGAUGGCAGUUUGGUGCUGUGUUUCUUGAUCAGAGGCACAGAAGGCCAAAGGUGGAACAAACAGAACCUAGAGGUUAUCCGGUUCAACUCGUUUCUGUUAUAAAUGAGAAAACCAAAGAAAAAAAGAGAGGAAAUGAAUUGUCCAAAGUCGCCCAAGCUCAUUUGUGAUGGAGAACAGGACCCAAAGCUUCAAAUUGCAAGGAAAAUCUACUCAAAGCCAAGCCUUCCCUCCCAAAAACAACACAGGCAGGGAUUUUCGAUGUGCUGAGAGAUGAAGGGUUUGGGUCUCUACGCCACGGUCCAGCCGGUGAGACGCACAGACAAGAUCCACACCUGAGACAGCACCUAUGGCUCCUCCCUGCUUCUUCUCUUUGCUCUACACACCUCCCACUCUGGCCAAGGCUCUGGGCUUCCUGACAUAUUUUAAAUGGCUUUGCUCUCCCACUUGCCAACCUGACAACACCCAGCCCACAGGUCCAGGAAUUCCACAAUUGCUUGGAGAUGUGGCAAGUCCAUCUUGAACUGGGGGCCUCUGUCAUGGGCACACACACCACUCAGAGAGGGCACUCUGCUGCCCCUCACCCAAGAGGAGGAUUGGUUAACACCAUCUGAGCCUGUCGGGUAGCAGGGUGAGCUCUAGGCCAGGAGUCAGAAGAGGAAAUCCCUGGAGCCAGCACCCACGGACCCUCCCUCCCUGUGAGGGCCGGUGACUCAGUUCCUCUUUCCAAACCUGUUUCCCCACCCAUGAAAUGUGGGAGAGCCUUCACUCUCUCAACCAGUAUUGACCACAUGCCUGCUCUCUGGUGAAGUGGUUCUCCCUGACCAAGUUCACAGCUCAAGGGAUGGCAUGGAAGCCCCAUCAGUGGAAUUCACUCUGGAGUCAGCAGGGUAUCUGAUGUCAAAGGCAGUCCUGCCUCUGGAAGGAAGAUGAAUGAGAGGUGUUCUCACCCCUCGUAAGCUCGCAGUGCAGCGAAGGGAAGUGUGAUGGCCAAGGAUCACCGCCUAACAGCGUGGUGAAUGCCCCGUUAGCUCUUCCCUGCUGUGACGUGGGCACAGAGAGGCCGGUCCUCCAGUCUGUGCCCCUGAAGAAGUCACAGCUCAGUUGAAUUUUGAAGGCUGAGCACUGAGCAGGGAAAGGGAGAUGCAGAGAAGAAUACGAAAAGGAGAGAGUUUGGUGGGCUGGAGGGUUUCAAGUAAUUCCUGGAGGACGAGGCGCUGCGGGGUGAGAAGGGCAGGCAGGGAAGAGUAGCAGAGCCUUUUUCAGAUGAUGAAGCUGAGGCUCAGAAAGGAGACACUUGGGCAAGAUGACAUUAGUGAGUGAGAUAACAUGAUCCCAGAUUCUGGGGAUUAGCACAUGGGCGCUGCCCGGGACCAUCAUUCUGUCGAGGACAUAAAGGAACAGUUAGAAGCUUUGGGAGGACAAAGAAAGCCACGGUGAAUUCCAGCAAGAUGCUUGGGGUCAGAAGGGCGUCACAAAGGAGGCAGCAUUUGGACUGAUCCUGAAGGACAGGCUCAUUCCCUUCGUAAGAGAGCUGGGAGGAAGGAAGCCGUCUGACCUAUUUAGGAAUCCUGUUUGUGAUACUUCACGCAGAAUUGUCUGCCGUUGUUAGUUUCACGUCAUCAGAGGGAAGUAAUGAAUAUUUUAUUUAUCGCCCGAGUGUAAUAGCCAAGGCAGAAAGAAGUGAAAUGCUUUGCUUUGGACAUGAAUCUGGGGUGAAAAUGAAAGAAGAUCAAUUUAAUUCCAUUGGGUAAUAAUUCACCCAGGGUCUGUAAUGUGCCAGGCUGUGCUAGAUACUUCGGGGGCAUCUAAAUUAAUAAGACCAUGUCCUUCCCAGAAAAAUCAUGAUGAGUGUCACGGAUGGUCAUGCCAGCAGUCUGCCACGUCCUCUGGGUCACACAGGGUGUGCAGACAUGCACAUAACGAGGAACGGUGGUAUGCUAGUUUGCACUGUAAUGGGAAUACAGAGGACAGGAGUAGUCAGUUUUAAUAAAGAAAGAGCUUAUGGAAGAAAAAGUUUUUGUAGAAGAUGCCAAGGGCAGAGAAGUGUGGGAAGAGAGAGGGGAAGUGUCCUCUAAGUGCAUGGCCCUUAUGGGGAGCUCUGCUCCCCAUUUCCCAUUUGUCCUUAGCCUACUUCUAGGAUUUCAUAUAAAAAGGGUGGAUAAGUACAGGGGCUUCUCUUGGCGUUCCUUUAAGGCAGCUUUAAGGUCGUUAAGGCUGUACUGAACACUUGACUCUGCACUGGAGCGGAAAAAGGAGUUAUCAGAAAGCAUUUCUUCCCUUUCCUUCUCUUUUAACUAUUACGUCAUGAAAUACAUGAUACACAAUACCAACUAUAAUUUAUAGUAGUAAAAUGGACGCCUAUGAACCUACAAUCCAGCUAAAGAAAUCUAAUAUUCGUAUUAGAUUAACAUUAAUAACAGCUCUGUCAUGUCUUUCACCCAUCACAUCUCCCUCCUUUUGUCCUGCCUCCACAGGAUGUAUUUCUAUUUCUAUAUCUGUAUAGAUAGGUAUGGCUGUAUAUGUAUCUCCUUAGCAUAAUUGAUUGUGCUUGUUUUAAACUUUUCUACAAAUGCUAUGAUAGGAAUAUAUCUAUGCUUUUAUGACUUUCUUUCUUCUAAUUAUGUUUCUGAGAAUUGACCAUAUAGAUUUAUUCAACAGUAGUGGAUUCAUUUCACUGUUAUACAUUAUCCUGGUGCAGACAGACUCUUAUUUACUUAGCAGUUCUCCUUGGAUGGGCAUUUGUGUUAUCUGCAGCUUUUGGCUGUUACUCACAGGACAACUCUGUGCAUCUUGGUACAAGCCUUUGGGACACGUGGGCAGGAGCAGAAUUGCUGGUCGUUGGAUUGCCACAUCUUCAUCUUUAUUAGAUAAUGCUAAUUUAUUUUCCAGAGUGAUUUUAGCUAUUUAUACUUCCUCUGAUAUUGUAUAGAAAUACCACUGCUCCACAUCAUCUCCAGUACUUGACAUCAUCAGCCUUUUAGAUUUUUGCUGCUGCUGUUGGUGUGAAAUGGUAACCCACACUGGUUUUCAUCUGCAUUUCCCUAAGGACGAAUGUAAUUGUUCUUUCAUAGGUCAAUUGGCCCUUUGUAUUUUCUCUUCCCUAAAAUGUCUGUUCGUGCGCCCAUUUUUCUAUUGAGUUUUCUUUUUCUUAAAAAUUCUUUGUUAUAUUCUGGAGAGUAAUCCUCUGUCUUUUUAUGUCUGGCAAGUAGCUUUUCCCAGCUUGAAGCUAUUAUGAGUCUUUUGAUUAACUCCAUUUCUUAAUUUUAAUGGCAUUUAAAUUAUUAAUUAUUUUAUUUACAGCUUUAAUGUUUUUUAUUUGGUUCAAGAAAUCCUUUGUAACCUAAAGGUCAUGAUCGUUUUAAAUAGGUCUUAAAGUUUUGUCUUUAAGGAGUCAGGCACUGGGUGUUAUAUUUUUCCACAUGAAAACCAGUUAUUCCAGCAUCUCCCCUUGCCACAGUGAUCUGCAAUAUCAUUUAUGUCAUAUAUUGUUACCGUAAAUGAAUGGUCUUAUUUUAGGUUCUCAGCUGUCGUCCAUUUAGAUUAUAUACGUCUUUUUUUUUAAUACAAAUAAUACACUGCCUUUAUUACUGUAGCUUUAUAGAAAGUCAUAUCUGGUAAAGAAAAUUACCCUUCCUUAUUCUUUAAAAAUUUAUUGGGUAUUUUGGGUAGGGUAUUUCCUAGUAAGUUUUAGAAUCAAUUUGCCAAAGUCCAUAAACUUAGAUUAGUAUUCUAUUAAAUCUGUGAAUCAAUUUAGGAAGAAUUUACAUUUUUAUGACAUUAUUUCCCUAUCUUUGAAGAUGGUAUAUCUUUCCACUUACUUAGAUCUACGUUAAUAUCUUUCAGUGAAGUUCUGUGGUUUUCCUCAUUAAGGUAUUUUAUAUUUUAUAAAAGAUAUUCUUAGGUACUUUACUUUUUUUGUCACCAUUAUAUAUGGUUUGUUAAAAAUACAUUAUCAAACUCUUUGUGGCUAUUGCACAGAAGUAAGAUGCAAUUACGGUAUAUUAAUGUUAUAUCCAGCAAACCUGCUAAACUUAAUUUUUAUUUUUUUAAAUUAUACUUGAUGUACAAUACUGUGUUAGUUUUAGGUGUACAGCAUGGUGAUUUGGCAAUCAGAUGCAUUAAGAAAUGAUCACCACAAUAAGUCCAGUAACCAUCUGUCACUAUACGAAGUUACCAGGGUAUUAUUAUUUUUUAUGCUGUAUGUUACUGUGCCUUACUUUGUAACUGGAAGUUUGUACCUCUUGGUCCCCUUCAUUUAUUUCACCCAACACCCACUCCCUCCCCUCUUGCCAUCACCAAUUUGCUCGAUCUAUAAGUCUGUGUAAUGUUAAUUAUUGGUGUGUUAUAUUUGGGUUUCUGUGUAUAGUUUUCUGUGGUUAUAUCAUCUAUGAGCAAUGGCAGUUUGGCUUCUUGCAUUCUUUUCUUUGUAUCUUUUAUUCAUGUUUCUGUUAUAACCGUACUGGUUGGAAUCUUCAGUGCAAAGUUGAAUGGAAGUGUUGACAGCGGGUAUCCUCUUGUUUACGAUUUGAAAUAAUUACUUCUAAGGUUUCACUACGUGGAGCCGCUUUUGCAUAGGUAGACUUUGGUCAAGGAAGUCUCUUUCUAUUCCUAGUUUGCUAAGGGGUUGCUCUUUUAUGAAUGUUUUACUGUGUUACACUCUUUUCCUACAUCUAUUAGGAAAUUAUGAUCAUAACGUUUUUCCAUUUUGUUUUGUGAAAGUGGUGAAUUAAUCAACGUUCUCAUGUUUAGCUUCUCCCAUAUUCCUGGGAUAAACUAUAAACUCAGCUUCUUUGAGAUUGAACUGUAUGGUUACCAGUGUCUUUGCUUACCAUUUCUUGUUGCAUCACCAAUGUUCCUUCCUGGUUCAUUUUCUUUCCUCCUGACAUGUAUCUUUUAGAAUUCCUUUUAGUUAGGGCCUAUGGACAUUAAGCCCUUUCGGCUUUUGUUCAUUUUUUAAAUGUCUUUCUUUUUCUUAGACAUGGAAAUUGUAGAUAAAAUUCUUUUCCUACUGUCUUCCACAUUAUUAAAGUUGUCAGUAUGAUAGCGCAGGACUGGGAGUCAGCCCUGGACACAAGGUCCAGCCUUGUAAUUAAAUUAUAUUGUGACCUUAGGCGAAUCCUUUCCUAUCUCUGGGACUUAGUGUUUCCUCACAAAAUCAGAGAACAUGCUAAGGACCCUCGAGCUCUCACAUUUGACGAACAGGGGCAAAUACGUGUAUGUACAGUGUUAAAAUAUGGAGUAGUGGGGGAGGCAAAGAACAUAAAGUGAGUAACCUGAGAAAAUAAGAGAAAGGAAAGCCAAGGGGGCAUGUUACAUGCUCUUCUUUGUGUAAAACUUUCUGGCACGAAUUCCCCGCACCCCAGCGACGCUCCUCUCAUCUGUUACUUCAGAGAUGCCCUUUGUGUGCACCUGGCACCUUUGAAAAUGGCAGCGCCUCACAGAGCUCUGGCCCCUGGGCUCUCAGACCCUUCGGCAUUAGUAGGCUGAAACGUGAGGCUGGAGAGCCAACCCAAAGCCUAAGUGGGAAGGAGAAGGCUCUCCUUUCCUGAACGUCACGGAAGGAGUUUCGUGUUCUCUCUACUGCUAGUCACUCUUGAGUCAGACUAGGCUGGGGGUCGGGGUACUGGUUUCUCUUGCAGACCUCUUCCUUUAAAAAAGGGGAAAAAAUAUGUAUGGUCAUUUGGGUUGUUACCUUUAUUUCUCACAUUCUUAACACUUUCAUCUAUAAAAUGAGGGUAAACUCAUUCCAGAUCACAGGGCUAUUAAUAGUAAGCAGUGAAGCCUUUAAAAAAUGCUGAGUUACACUCUCCCAUGUGUCUGAUUCUUCCUUUCUUCUUCCCAGUUAUUUGCAUCCAUACCAUCAGCUCUACUAGACUACAGACUUCUUGAAAGCAGGAGCGAUGUCUGAUUUAUAUCCAUCUCCUUCAAGAUGCCUAGCACAGAGCAGAGUCUCAGGGUCGGAAAAGUAUGCAUAGCACUGAUGGAGUAAAAGUGCGAAAAGUCAACCAGCUGUUAGCGCUGCAGGUGGAGAAUCCCUCAUUCCUACCCCCACCCCUCACAGGAACUGACUGACUUGGAUCCGACUUUAAAAGGGAAAAGUUCUUCCCCUGAAAGGUUAAGACAAAGAGUGGUCAAGUAAUUCUAGAACACGUCUAACUUGAAGGUCUGUGCUCAAGAGUGGAGAAGAGUAGGUGUUUCGUACGCUUGUUGGCAUCACAUUUGCUUUGAGAGACGUUCCCUCUCUCAGGAGAACAUAUGGAAAGCAAUGAGGUAAAAAAAAUGAAUCACAGUAAAAGAGGCUGGAAGGAAGGAGGCGGGAGCUGUCCCACUCAGAAAGAAUUCCACACGCAGGCAAGUAAACGUAGUGAGUUUAUUGGAUUUCUAAAUAUAAUGACGUAGUUGCGAUUCUUUAACAGAAAAAAAGGAAUAUAAUUUUCAUAUGUAUUCUUAUACAGCGUUGGAAAAACAUAAUUGAUAGAAAAAACUGAUAGAAAGUAAAUAGAGACGUGAUUUAAUAUAGUUGGUAAUGUAUAAAUACAAAAGAAAAUAC